CGGGGGCAACCCUGGUGGCGAGUGGCGAACGGGUGAGUAAUGCAUCGGAACGUGCCCAUCGAUGGGGGAUAACUGCGCGAAAGCGUUGCUAAUACCGCAUACGACCUACGGGUGAAAGCAGGGGACCGCAAGGCCUUGCGUCGAUGGAGCGGCCGAUGCCGGAUUAGCUAGUUGGUGAGGUAAAGGCUCACCAAGGCGACGAUCCCGUAGCUGGUCUGAGAGGACGACCAGCCACACUGGGACUGAGACACGGCCCAGACUCCUACGGGAGGCAGCAGUGGGGAAUCUUGGACAAUGGGCGAAAGCCUGAUCCAGCAAUGCCGCGUGUGGGAAGAAGGCCCUCGGGUUGUAAACCACUUUUGGCGGGAAAGAAAUGGUCUGUGCUAAUACCACGGAUUGAUGACGGUACCCGCAGAAUAAGCACCGGCUAACUACGUG
rnacentral:rRNA from 1 species